CCUACGGGAGGCAGCAGUGAGGAAUAUUGGUCAAUGGACGAGAGUCUGAACCAGCCAAGUAGCGUGAAGGAUGACUGCCCUAUGGGUUGUAAACUUCUUUUAUAUGGGAAUAAAAUGUUCCACGUGUGGGAUUUUGUAUGUACCAUAUGAAUAAGGAUCGGCUAACUCCGUGCCAGCAGCCGCGGUAAUACGGAGGAUCCGAGCGUUAUCCGGAUUUAUUGGGUUUAAAGGGAGCGUAGGUGGAUUGUUAAGUCAGUUGUGAAAGUUUGCGGGUCAACCGUAAAAUUGCAGUUGAAACUGGCAGUCUUGAGUGCAGUAGAGGUGGGCGGAAUGCGUGGUGUAGCGGUGAAAUGCAUAGAUAUCACGAAGAACUCCGAUUGCGAAGGCAGUUCACUGGACUGCAACUGACACUGAGGCUCGAAAGUGUGGGUAUCAAACAGGAUUAGAUACCCCUGUAGUC
rnacentral:rRNA from 1 species